ACUUUGCACGACCAAGACUCUGAAAAACAGAGAGAAAAGAAAACCAAAAACUAUUUCUUGGCUGGUUUGAAGAAAUUCUAAGGAGAUCCAAGUGAAAUCAAAGCCAAAGAAGUGGAUUAAGCUUAGUUCUAGCCUGUUUAUGAUAUUUCUUGGUGGUCUCCAAGUGGUUUGAGGUUUACAAAAGCUAGAAGAGAUUUUUUUCGCCGAAAAGUUGUUCGGAUAGGCACAUCAACAUCUAAGACACCACUUGUUACACGGUGAAUUAUAUUUUGGACAGAAGGUAAGUAAAG